rnacentral:lncRNA from 1 species
UCACAUCGAUCAGUCUUUUUUGAAAACUCAUGCUUGCAUGCUGAAAUAAUUAGGUCAAAUGAUCUUAGGGAGAGAGAUGUUAACAACCUGCGAGUUCAAAAGUCACCAGGUGACUCCUAGAAAUAGUACACUAAAUCAGUUCGAACCCAGCUUGCACACUGUGAGAAAUGAUACAAGGAGGAGAGGGAAGAUCUAAAAAUACCAUUUACCAAAAUGGAAAAAUUACAAUUACAAUUACAAAUUACAGUUCAAAGGAGCUAUUUCUCUAAAGCAGAUGUAAUCAUGAAGAGCGAUGCCUCCUGUGGUUUACUCGCUUCAAAAUGCAACUACGCAGACGUUGGCUAAGGCCCUAGUUUU